GGCGGUUCUCCGGUGAUGCACCCCGGACCAAAGAGGAGGGAGCCUGAUUCCGGGGUGUAUCACCUGAGAACCGCC
rfam:Myotis davidii contig30795, whole genome shotgun sequence.